GGGCAGCGCGCCGGCACCUUGGCUCUAGACUGGUUACUGCCGGGCCGCCCUCAGUAACAGUCUCCAGUCACGGCCACCGACGCCUGGCCC
rnacentral:pre_miRNA from 1 species